CCCUUAGAUGUUCUGGGCCGCACGCGCGCUACACUGAUGCAUUCAACAAGCCUAGCCUUGACCGAGAGGUCCGGGUAAUCUUUGAAACUGCAUCGUGAUGGGGCUAGAUUAUUGCAAUUAUUAAUCUUCAACGAGGAGUGCCUAGUAAGCGUGAUUCAUCAAAUCGCGUUGAUUACGUCCCUGCCCUUUGUACACACCGCCCGUCGCUCCUACCGAUUGAAUGUGUUGGUGAGGAGCUCGGAUUGGCAGCAGUUGGUGGUUCGCCACCGGCUAUUGCUGAGAAGUCCUCCAAACCGCCCCAUUUAGAGGAAGGAGAAGUCGUAACA
rnacentral:rRNA from 1 species